AUUGAACGCUGGCGGAAUGCUUUACACAUGCAAGUCGAGCGGCAGCGCGGGGCAACCUGGCGGCGAGCGGCGAACGGGUGAGUAAUGCAUCGGAACAUGUCCAUGGAUGGGGGAUAGCCCGGCGAAAGCCGGAUUAAUACCGCAUGAGCCCGAGAGGGGAAAGCGGGGGACCGCACGGCCUCACGUCGAUGGGUUGGCCGAUGCCCGAUUAGCUAGUUGGUGAGGUAAUGGCUCACCAAGGCGAUGAUCGGUAGCUGGUCUGAGAGGAUGAUCAGCCACACUGGGACUGAGACACGGCCCAGACUCCUACGGGAGGCAGCAGUGGGGAAUUUUGGACAAUGGGGGCAACCCUGAUCCAGCCAUUCCGCGUGAGUGAAGAAGGCCUUCGGGUUGUAAAGCUCUUUUGUCCGGAGCGAAACGGGGCGCGUGAAUAUCGCGCUCUACUGACGGUACCGGAAGAAUAAGCACCGGCUAACUACGUGCCAGCCGCCGCCGUAA
rnacentral:rRNA from 1 species